UCCUUCUUAGCUCAGUUGGUAGAGCGCGUCACUAGUAAAGUGUUCCCUCACAAAUUAGUAAUGACGAGGUCAGUCGUUCAAGUCGGCUAGAAGGAA